UCUCUAUUCCUAUUCAGUCUUCUUUUCAAUUUAUUUAGUGUUGAGUAUGGAGUGGAACUUGAUUCAGGACACUGUGAUGUGGGAAGUUCCAAAGGGAGGAAAAAUAUCUUUGAGGACAAUUUUCUGUCUGUGUUCCUAUGGGAAAAGAAGAACACAGAGGAUCAAAGAAGGUGAAGGAGGAAAAGCAGAAAAAGGAAACUUAAAGACAAGAAAAUCUGGAAAUGUUGUCCCAUGGGAGAUGACAAUUGAGUUGCAUUUUGAAGGAAACUAGGAAUUUUACACAAGAUAUGGUUGAGGAGGCAGUAGAGACCAGAAGCAGGUGGCUGCUUCUGCAAGGUCAUGGUGGCAUGGAAUGGAAUGUUUAGUUCCAGUUUUAUUAGAACAGUGAAUAAAUUAAAGUAAAUGAUAUGAAAUAAUUUUGGA
rnacentral:lncRNA from 1 species